rnacentral:rRNA from 1 species
GUCCUUUAGGUAAUUAUAAUUUAAGGUCUAACCUGCCCAUUGAUAAAUUAAAAGGCCGCAGUAAUUUGACUGUGCAAAGGUAGCAUAAUCAUUAGUUUUUUAAUUAAAAGCUUGUAUGAAUGGUUGGACGAGAUAAAAUCUGUCUCUUAAUAAAAAAUAGAAUUUAAUUUUUAAGUUAAAAAGCUUAAAUUUUAAUAAAAGACGAGAAGACCCUAUAGAUCUUUAUAAAAAUUUUUUUAAUAUUAAUAUAGAUGAUUUUAUUUAUUAUAUAGAUUUUUAUUUUAUUGGGGUAAUAAAAAGAUUAAAAAAAUUCUUUUUUAUUUGACAAAAAUUAUUGAUUUUAUGAUCCAUUAUUAGUGAUUUAAGAUUAAGUUACCUUAGGGAUAACAGCGUAAUUUUUUUUAAGAGUUCUUAUCGAUAAAAAAGUUUGCGACCUCGAUGUUGGAUUAAAAGUAAUCUUAGGUGCAGAAGUUUAAGAUUUUGGUCUGUUCGACCAUUAAAUUUUU